UGCAGUGUCCAUGACGAUCCUCAGUCUGUCA
rnacentral:piRNA from 1 species